rnacentral:rRNA from 1 species
GAUGAACGCUGGCGGCGUGCCUAAUACAUGCAAGUCGAACGAAACUUCUUUAUCACCGAGUGCUUGCACUCACCGAUAAAGAGUUGAGUGGCGAACGGGUGAGUAACACGUGGGCAACCUGCCCAAAAGAGGGGGAUAACACAUGGAAACAGGUUCUAAUACCGCAUAACCAUAGUUACCGCAUGGUAACUAUGUAAAAGGUGGCUAUACUACCGCUUUUGGAUGGGCCCGCGGCGCAUUAGCUAGUUGGUAGGGUAAAGGCUUACCAAGGCAAUGAUGCGUAGCCGAAUUGAGAGGUUGAUCGGCCACAUUGGGACUGAGACACGGCCCAAACUCCUACGGGAGGCAGCAGUAGGGAAUCUUCCACAAUGGGCGAAAGCCUGAUGGAGCAACGCCGCGUGGGUGAAGAAGGUCUUCGGAUCGUAAAACCCUGUUGUUAGAGAAGAAAGUGCGUGAGAGUAACUGUUCACGUUUCGACGGUAUCUAACCAGAAAGCCACGGCUAACUACGUG